rnacentral:antisense_RNA from 1 species
UUACGAGGGCUCCUCCCUUCAUCUUUGGUCCCUCGGGGCGUCUGGGCAGCCUACGCUUUCCGCCCUUGGCAGCUCAGGUUCCGUGGAAGGACGUUCACCUGCUUCGCGGUCUUGUGGAGGUCCACCGGGGCGGAGAAUCCUAAACCUCACCUGUGACUCGGCAGGAUGAGCGGCCAGCACUCCCGACGAAGGCCCUCUGGGGGAAAAGAGGCGCUUGGCCUCGAGCCCAGGAAAGGGGCUAUUCAGGAGUUGGUUCGCGCAGUUACAGCGAAAGCGCCGUGAGCCUCAAAGCCGCAGGCCGGAGGAUAAAAAUGGCAGAAUGAAAGAAUUAUGAGUGGGACUAGAGAAUAGGAAAGACACGAACCAACGCCCAAAAUGAGAAAGAAGGACAUAUAAAGAAAAAGACAAAUACAAGUGAAAAAAAUAGACUAAUGGAUUAACAUCCCUGUUGUGUGACAUUUUCUUGUAUGACAGCUGAAGAUGUUGAACCCUAUGGUGCAUUUUUGCAAAUAGUCUAUGAAGUGGGAUGUAAGUUUUACCAGUAAUUGUC